CGGCAUGUUCUCUGUCUACCUGGAAUGCUCAAAUCCGUCCUUCAAGGUGGAACGUCGGCGCCGCUGCCAUCCAGCCCGACCCUAUGUUUCUGACACUAGCCUUGUGGAUCUGGCACCUCUCGCAGGUGCACAACCAGCACAAACGCGCUACAACGAGCAGCAUCAAGGGAUUUGGUUUGGGUGAUUAUAUACACGUCAUGACACCCUCUCCUCUACACGUUGAUGUCAAAUUCCCUCCUCCAAGGUCAAAGCGUUCUGCUAUGAGGUAAAGGAAUUUUUUGUGGAGGAAACUACUGUUCAGGUUGAGAACUUCAAGAAGGACGUACUGGAUCCAUGCAAGGUGUACUGGAUCCAUGCUAGGAACCGGGACAAAUGGGCCUUAUGAACCGGGACAAAUGAUCCCUUUUCUACUAGUGCUGGCACAUGAUGGUGCUCGCUAUAUCAGUUAUGCUGUCUCCAUGGGAGUUUUACAUUUUUGUGACCAGAUGCAUAAGGCUCCCCUAUUUCUUAUUUGUUUCCAAACAUCAUAGCCCUUUGGUAGAGGCUUGUGAAGAUGCCAUUUAUGUAGCAUGUAUACAAUCUCUGCUUAUUAUUUGUCUUGGUAGUGCUGAGUAGGCGUAUUUACUAUCUUAACUGUUGUGUAUAUUGUUAU